UGGGGAAUAUUGGACAAUGGGGGAAACCCUGAUCCAGCGACGCCGCGUGUGUGAAGAAGGCCUGCGGGUUGUAAAGCACUUUCGGUGGGAACGAAAUAUGCCGGGCUAAUACCCCGGUAGGCUGACGUUACUCAAUGAAGAAGCACCGGCUAACUCUGUGCCAGCAGCCGCGGUAAUACAGAGGGUGCGAGCGUUAAUCGGAAUUACUGGGCGUAAAGCGCACGUAGGUGGCGACGUAAGUCGGGUGUGAAAGCCCCGGGCUCAACCUGGGAACCGCAUUCGAGACUGUGUUGCUGGAGUACGGAAGAGGAGGGCGGAAUUCCCGGUGUAGCGGUGAAAUGCGUAGAUAUCGUCAAGAACACCGAUAGCGAAGGCAGCUUACCAAGCUGUAACUGACACUGAGGCACGAAAGUGUGGGGAUCAAACAGGAUUAGAUACCCCAGUAGUCCCUGAGCGGGCUGGCAAGGCGCAU
rnacentral:rRNA from 1 species